AGUGAACGCUGGCGGUAGGCCUAACACAUGCAAGUCGAACGGCAGCACAGUAAGAGCUUGCUCUUACGGGUGGCGAGUGGCGGACGGGUGAGGAAUACAUCGGAAUCUACUUUUUCGUGGGGGAUAACGUAGGGAAACUUACGCUAAUACCGCAUACGACCUACGGGUGAAAGCAGGGGAUCUUCGGACCUUGCGCGAUUGAAUGAGCCGAUGUCGGAUUAGCUAGUUGGCGGGGUAAAGGCCCACCAAGGCGACGAUCCGUAGCUGGUCUGAGAGGAUGAUCAGCCACACUGGAACUGAGACACGGUCCAGACUCCUACGGGAGGCAGCAGUGGGGAAUAUUGGACAAAGGGCGCAAGCCUGAUCCAGCCAUACCGCGUGGGUGAAGAAGGCCUGCGGGUUGUAAAGCCCUUUUGUUGGGAAAGAAAAGCAGCAGGUUAAUACCCCGCUGUUCUGACGGUACCCAAAGAAUAAGCACCGGCUAACUUCGUG
rnacentral:rRNA from 1 species